rnacentral:rRNA from 1 species
AGGACGAACGCUGGCGGCGUGCUUAACACAUGCAAGUGGUGCGACGAACCAGGGCUUGCCCUGGGGCAAAGCCGCGAACGGGUGAGUAACACGUGGGUAACCUGCCCCGAUGACCGGGACAACCCGAGGAAACUCGGGCUAAUACCGGAUGUGGUGCCGAGCUUUAAGGCUCUGCACUAAAGGAAGCUUCGGCCUCCGCAUUGGGAGGGGCCCGCGGCCCAUUAGCUAGUUGGUUGAGGUAACGGCUCACCAAGGCAACGAUGGGUAGCUGGUCUGAGAGGACGAUCAGCCACACUGGGACUGAGACACGGCCCAGACUCCUACGGGAGGCAGCAGUGGGGAAUCUUGCGCAAUGCGCGAAAGCGUGACGCAGCAACGCCGCGUGGGGGAAGACGGCCUUCGGGUUGUAAACCCCGUUUCACGGAGGGACGAAGGUUCGCCGGUUAAUAGCCGUGCGGAUUGACGGUACUCCACAAGAAGGUCCGGCUAACUACGUGCCAGCAGCCGCGGU